CAGGUGGAAAUGAACAACUGCCCCCAAAGCCUGUGCCGGAGGCUGGAGUAGCCAUUGCUGCUUGUGUGGAGAUGGAGCAGCAGUAUGACCCACUUGACUCAGACAUGCCAGCCAUGGACACAGCUGGCCUGUUCAAAGAAAGUCAUGAAGAUAUGAAGAAGCCAGAUGAAGAGGAAGAGAAACAGAAGAUAGAAGAUUCUCUGUGGGCAGGUGUGGAGGCAUGUCAAAAGGUAGACACUGGAGCUAUUGAUAUCAAGACACUAGAAGGUACAGAGGAAUUUGAAGAGAAAGCAUGUGAAAGGACAGGAAACAGAGUGGUAGAUCUUCUUAAUACCAUAGGAAAGGAAGACCAUAAGACCUUAAAAAUUAAUGAAGUGGAAACUAGAAAAGAUCUAAGAGCAGGGUAUAAGGAAAGUACAAACACCAAUGAAAAUUCUUUUGAGAAAACUGACCUAUUAGAAAAGAACAUGGAAGGAGGAGAUAUGGCAAAAGAACUUAGUGACAGAGACCAAGGUCUACAUGAUGGAAUUCAAAAGGCUUCUGGUGGUUCAUUUAAUGGAUUCACACAGCCCCAGGAUACUUCAUUAUUCACAAUGCAGACAGACCAGAGUAUGAUCUGCAACUUGAUCAUACCUGGAGCUGAUACUGAUGCAGCUGUUGGAACCUUGGUGUCAGCAGCUGAGGGGGCCCCAGGAGAGGAAGCAGAGGCAGAGAAGCCCACUGUCCCUGCCGGGGAAGGAGUAAGUUUAGAGGAGGCCAAAAUUGGAACUGAAACCACUGAGGGUGCAGAGAGUGCCCAACCUGAAGCAGAGGAGCUGGAAGCAACAGUGCCUCAGGAGAAGGUCAUCCCUUCGGUGGUCAUAGAG
rnacentral:sRNA from 1 species